rnacentral:rRNA from 1 species
CCUGGCUCAGGAUGAACGCUAGCUACAGGCUUAACACAUGCAAGUCGAGGGGCAGCAUGGUCUUAGCUUGCUAAGGCCGAUGGCGACCGGCGCACGGGUGAGUAACACGUAUCCAACCUGCCGUCUACUCUUGGACAGCCUUCUGAAAGGAAGAUUAAUACAAGAUGGCAUCAUGAGUCCGCAUGUUCACAUGAUUAAAGGUAUUCCGGUAGACGAUGGGGAUGCGUUCCAUUAGAUAGUAGGCGGGGUAACGGCCCACCUAGUCUUCGAUGGAUAGGGGUUCUGAGAGGAAGGUCCCCCACAUUGGAACUGAGACACGGUCCAAACUCCUACGGGAGGCAGCAGUGAGGAAUAUUGGUCAAUGGGCGAGAGCCUGAACCAGCCAAGUAGCGUGAAGGAUGACUGCCCUAUGGGUUGUAAACUUCUUUUAUAAAGGAAUAAAGUCGGGUAUGGAUACCCGUUUGCAUGUACUUUAUGAAUAAGGAUCGGCUAACUCCGUGUCAGCAGCCGCGGUAAUACGGAGGAUCCGAGCGUUAUCCGGAUUUAUUGGGUUUAAAGGGAGCGUAGAUGGAUGUUUAAGUCAGUUGUGAAAGUUUGCGGCUCACCCGUAAAAUUGCAGUUGAUACUGGAUAUCUUGAGUGCAGUUGAGGCAGGCGGAAUUCGUGGUGUAGCGGUGAAAUGCUUAGAUAUCACGAAGAACUCCGAUUGCGAAGGCAGCCUGCUAAGCUGCAACUGACAUUGAGGCUCGAAAGUGUGGGUAUCAAACAGGAUUAGAUACCCUGGUAGUCCACACGGUAAACGAUGAAUACUCGCUGUUUGCGAUAUACUGCAAGCGGCCAAGCGAAAGCGUUAAGUAUUCCACCUGGGGAGUACGCCGGCAACGGUGAAACUCAAAGGAAUUGACGGGGGCCCGCACAAGCGGAGGAACAUGUGGUUUAAUUCGAUGAUACGCGAGGAACCUUACCCGGGCUUAAAUUGCAGAUGAAUUACGGUGAAAGCCGUAAGCCGCAAGGCAUCUGUGAAGGUGCUGCAUGGUUGUCGUCAGCUCGUGCCGUGAGGUGUCGGCUUAAGUGCCAUAACGAGCGCAACCCUUGUUGUCAGUUACUAACAGGUUCCGCUGAGGACUCUGACAAGACUGCCAUCGUAAGAUGUGAGGAAGGUGGGGAUGACGUCAAAUCAGCACGGCCCUUACGUCCGGGGCUACACACGUGUUACAAUGGGGGGUACAGAGGGCCGCUACCACGCGAGUGGAUGCCAAUCCCCAAAACCUCUCUCAGUUCGGACUGGAGUCUGCAACCCGACUCCACGAAGCUGGAUUCGCUAGUAAUCGCGCAUCAGCCACGGCGCGGUGAAUACGUUCCCGGGCCUUGUACACAC